rnacentral:lncRNA from 1 species
UAAAAUUAAAAAUUAAAAUGACUCCAGACAUGGGAUGCCUCCCCAUAAGCGCUCUUUCUUUAACGUCUUUGAGCUAGAUGAUACCUAGAUUGUUAUGCAAUCCAAAAAUAAAAUAAAAAACUCAACACACAAAAACCAAAAAUAAAAUCAAAAAGAAACUAGGACAAGUGUCCAAGUCUCAUAUAUAAUAAAAUGGAUUUAAAAUCCGAAAAGAAGAAAUAAAAAGUCCUAAGGUGAACGAUGAAGCAUAAACAUGUAGACUAACU